rnacentral:rRNA from 1 species
GUGACUGCGUACCUUUUGUAUAAUGGGUCAGCGACUUAUAUUCUGUAGCAAGGUUAACCGAAUAGGGGAGCCGAAGGGAAACCGAGUCUUAACUGGGCGUUAAGUUGCAGGGUAUAGACCCGAAACCCGGUGAUCUAGCCAUGGGCAGGUUGAAGGUUGGGUAACACUAACUGGAGGACCGAACCGACUAAUGUUGAAAAAUUAGCGGAUGACUUGUGGCUGGGGGUGAAAGGCCAAUCAAACCGGGAGAUAGCUGGUUCUCCCCGAAAGCUAUUUAGGUAGCGCCUCGUGAAUUCAUCUCCGGGGGUAGAGCACUGUUUCGGCAAGGGGGUCAUCCCGACUUACCAACCCGAUGCAAACUGCGAAUACCGGAGAAUGUUAUCACGGGAGACACACGGCGGGUGCUAACGUCCGUCGUGAAGAGGGAAACAACCCAGACCGCCAGCUAAGGUCCCAAAGUCAUGGUUAAGUGGGAAACGAUGUGGGAAGGCCCAGACAGCCAGGAUGUUGGCUUAGAAGCAGCCAUCAUUUAAAGAAAGCGUAAUAGCUCACUGGUCGAGUCGGCCUGCGCGGAAGAUGUAACGGGGCUAAACCAUGCACCGAAGCUGCGGCAGCGACGCUUAUGCGUUGUUGGGUAGGGGAGCGUUCUGUAAGCCUGCGAAGGUGUGCUGUGAGGCAUGCUGGAGGUAUCAGAAGUGCGAAUGCUGACAUAAGUAACGAUAAAGCGGGUGAAAAGCCCGCUCGCCGGAAGACCAAGGGUUCCUGUCCAACGUUAAUCGGGGCAGGGUGAGUCGACCCCUAAGGCGAGGCCGAAAGGCGUAGUCGAUGGGAAACAGGUUAAUAUUCCUGUACUUGGUGUUACUGCGAAGGGGGGACGGAGAAGGCUAUGUUGGCCGGGCGACGGUUGUCCCGGUUUAAGCGUGUAGGCUGGUUUUCCAGGCAAAUCCGGAAAAUCAAGGCUGAGGCGUGAUGACGAGGCACUACGGUGCUGAAGCAACAAAUGCCCUGCUUCCAGGAAAAGCCUCUAAGCAUCAGGUAACAUCAAAUCGUACCCCAAACCGACACAGGUGGUCAGGUAGAGAAUACCAAGGCGCUUGAGAGAACUCGGGUGAAGGAACUAGGCAAAAUGGUGCCGUAACUUCGGGAGAAGGCACGCUGAUAUGUAGGUGAAGU